rnacentral:rRNA from 1 species
GACGAACGCUGGCGGCGUGCUUAACACAUGCAAGUCGAGCGGAAAGGCCCUUCGGGGUACUCGAGCGGCGAACGGGUGAGUAACACGUGAGUAACCUGCCCCAGGCUUUGGGAUAACCCUCGGAAACGGGGGCUAAUACCGGAUACGACACAGCUUCGCAUGGGGUCUGUGUGGAAAGUUUUUCGGUUUGGGAUGGGCUCGCGGCCUAUCAGCUUGUUGGUGGGGUGAUGGCCUACCAAGGCGACGACGGGUAGCCGGCCUGAGAGGGCGACCGGCCACACUGGGACUGAGACACGGCCCAGACUCCUACGGGAGGCAGCAGUGGGGAAUAUUGCACAAUGGGCGGAAGCCUGAUGCAGCGACGCCGCGUGAGGGAUGACGGCCUUCGGGUUGUAAACCUCUUUCAGCAGGGACGAAGCGUAAGUGACGGUACCUGCAGAAGAAGCGCCGGCCAACUACGUG